rnacentral:tRNA from 1 species
GGUGACGUAGCUCAGUUGGUUAGAGCAUCGGAUUCAUACCCCGAAGGUCGGUGGUUCAACUCCACUCGUCACUACCA